CACAGAUUCUGAAAUCCAGAAUCUAUCACAUAUAAAGCAUACUGAUGACUACUAUUGUUAAUCUUGAAAGUCCUAAGGAUGGAUUAUCUCUAAUUCAGUUAAAAUAACUAUGUACCACAAAUAGGUGUUAAUAAACAAGCAUAUAUGGCAUAUUUACAGCUUGUAUAAUGUGAGUUCACUUACUUUGUCUUCAUAACUACUCUUUAAGAAGAUAAGCAGCUGAGAUUUUAAUUGCCAUUUAUUGCUGAGAAAAAUAAUUCAGUAAUAGGUACCUUGUUCCUUUACUUACAGAAAAUGGUAGUGCCAAACUCAAACUGAGAUCUUAUAUUUCCAAACAUUAACCAAAUGCCAUUAUACCCUGCACCAAGUACUUUUACACAAAAAUUAGUGAGACUCCCUACUCACAAGGAGGUUGAAACAAUUUUUAAUUCAAUAUUUAGACUGAUCACAUACUUAAUUUAAGCAUGAAAGGAGGACACAGAAGUAGAAAACAUCACCCUUGGCUUUGAGGAAACCUCAAAGAUUUACAGCAGUUAAAAAAAAAAGCAAGACUUAAGGGAACAGAAAGUAAGCCUGAAGGUCAGGAGCCAUGUCUUAUCAUGUCUUAUGGUAUUUACAGCUGGUACAACUAGAAGGUAAUGUUCGGUCGGUAAAUAUUUGUUGGUUGACUAAAUGUACUGAUCGAACCUUCUAGACAGGAAAUAUUAGACCCCAUUCAUUUUCCCCAGGAGCUAAACUUUUGUCUGUGACCAAAGAAUCAGCCAAAUCAUCAAAUAGGUCUUAUACAAUGUAACCAAGAAAGUUCAGGCACCACUUCUGGGCUACACCUAUGACUAAAUGUAUUUCACAGAAAAAUAAAAAUUUUGAACUACAUUCUAUUACAAAGCUGCCAAAAGGUUAUGAAACAAACAGUUGAAAUGCUACAAAAGACAACUAUCAUUCACUCUUGCUUUAUUCUGAAUUAAACACAUCCUCUGCUUCUAUAAUAAAUAAUUGUUCAUAAUAAUUCUCAUCA